rnacentral:pre_miRNA from 1 species
GAACUACUCCCUCCGUCCGGAAUUACUUGUCGCAAAAAUGGAUGUAUCUAUAACUAAAAUUCGUCUAGAUACAUCCAUUUCCCCGACAAGUAUUUUCGGACGGAGGGAGUAUUAU